AGAGGUUUACAAGUGUGUGCCUUCACAAGGGGAGAGGCUCCCUUUAUAUAGAAAUUUUCUAGCCUUUACUGUUGAGUCAUAAGAUCUUUACUGUGCCUUCACGCAGACUUUUUACUGUUCAUAAAUAGUAGCUUGUCUGCUUCUUUUUACUGUUGAGGAAUAAUAUGUCUGCCACUGUUGUUUCUUUUUACUGUUGGGGAAUAGUCUGUUUGCCACUUCUGCCUUUUACUAUUCUUAUAUUUAUUCUGACUCUGACUCAGAUGAGGAUGAGGACGAAGAUGAGGUGUCCUUUCUUUUCUUGCCUCUUUUCUUUAAUUUUUCUUUCUUUUCUUUUUGCACCUUUAUUUUCUUUUUAUCCUUUCUUUUCCCUGUUUUACUCUUGAUUUUUACUGGUGGUAGAACUCCAUAACAGUCGUUUUCAUUGCUGUCGCAGUGUGAAGAUGCCUGGUUCUUACUGGAGGAUGACGUCUUGGAUGACGCUGUCGACUCCGAUUCUGAACUUGACUGUUUUUUAGUCUUUCUUCUACUGGAUGUCUUCUUCUGUUUACUGGAUGACUUUUUUGAUGAAGUUUUACUAGAGGACUCUUUACUGAGAUCUUGCUUUAUCUUUUCCUUUUCUCCAUAAGUAAGCUGAUUGUAAAACCAAAUACAAGUUUGAGUAAAAUUGAGCAGUUUGAAGAUGAUAAAGUAUCAUUAAAAUUUAAUAGAAGUGCAAGUAGUAGAUAUACAGGAUCUUCAUCUUCAGUAGUAACAGAAGAUGUAGGCAGAGUUUCAAACCUACCUUCAGUAAUAUAUGCUACAUACAAAGGAAAUGAACCUAAACCAGUAAUCCAGACCAUAGUAAAACUCAGGUUUUCUACAUCAGAUAUUCCAGACAGACACCUUAAAUUGAAAGGAGUAGAUUAUAGUUCUUCAGUUUCUCAAGCAGUUUAUAAUCCGAUAGAAAAUUAUUUAAAUCAGCAGGUUGAGAUAACACCUUCUUCACCAGAAUCACCAUCAGCAUCUGCUAUAACAGAAAACAUAAAUAAUAUAAAUAGAGAAUUAAAUGUUCUUAGUAAGAAAAAAAUUGAAAAGAAAUUUCUAAAAGAAAUAACAAAGACAAAGAAUUUAAGUAAGUUAAAUAAAAUUGUUAAAGAACAUAAGUUUAAAAAUUUAAAAGAAGAAUACCUUAAUUAUAUUAGUCAGGAUAAAGAAGAAAUAGGAUUUUUCGAAUGGUUUAAACUAUGUAAAAAGAAAAGUAUUAAUCCGGUAACAAUAAGAGAUAAAAGACCAGAAUGGAUUGUAAAUGAUAAAGUAAUUUAGAGUGAGUUUCCACCUAAAAUAAUUAGUAAAAUAAAACAUGGAGAAAAUGAGAUAAUUUGUGCACCAUAUAAAAUAACUAAAGAAAAUGAUACAGAUAAGAAAGUUAUAGAGCAAAAUAAUUUUAGUAAUGCAAGUAUGAUAUGUAUAGGUACAAAGCUAAAAAAGAUAGAAAAAAUUUUAAAAGAAAAAGAAGUGGAAAUAGAGGAGAAAAAAGAAAUAAAACCACAUAUUUUUAAACCUUAUCAGAUAUCUAGUUCAAGCCAGAAGGAAUUAAAAGGAAAUAAAAAUAAAUUUUUACAGAGUUUGAAAGACCAGUUAAGUAAAAUAGAAAUUUCAGAAUCAAGUAAAAAUAUAGUUUCAGAAAGCCCCCAAUCCAAAAAUAUAAAUGCAUUAGAAGAAGAAUCAGAAUUUGAAACUGAGCAAAGUCAGCCAGAAUCAGACGAUAUUAAACAAUUCGAAAUAAAUCCUAUAGCCCAUAGAGAAAUAAUAAGUAAAGCACCAGAUUUAAAACUAAUAGAAAAACCAAAUAUUACUUCUCAAUUUAAAUAUAAUGCUUCAACAGUAUAUGAAUGAAAUAUAGAUGGAUUGUCUGAAUAUAAUAUUUUAAGUUUAUUACAGCAAAUGACUAUGGCAGCCAAUGCAUAUAAAACUCAGUCAUUUGCUUCAGAUAGAGCAAUAGCUGAGAUAAUUAUAGCAAGUUUUACAGGACAAUUAAAAGGUUGGUGGAAUUACCACCUAACUGAUCAGGAGCAAUUAAACAUAUUAAAUUCAGUUUAGGUAAAUAGUGAAGGAGAACCUAUAUAUAAUGAACAAGGAGAAACUAUUCAGGAUGCAGUAUCAACCUUAAUUUUAACAAUCUCUUUACAUUUUAUAGGAGAUCCAUUCCUUUUAAAAGAUAAAAAUGCUGAACUAUUAAGUAAUUUAAAAUGUAAAAAAUUAAGUGAUUUUCAGUAUUAUAAAACUCCAUUUUUGACCAGAUUAAUGUUAAGGGAAUACUCAAAUCAAGAUUUUUGGAAAGAAAAAUUCCUAGCAAGACUUCCGUAUUUCCUAGGAGAAAAGGUUAGGAAUAAUAUAAAACAACAAUUUGGUAGCCCAAUACCAUAUAAAAGGUUAACAUAUAGCCAGUUAGUUAGUAUAAUACAGAAGGAGGGCCUACAGAUUUGUCAAGACUUAAAACUGCAAAAAACUCUAAAAUAUGAAAUGAAUAAAACAAAGCAAGAACUAGGAUAUUUCUGUAAGCAGUUUGAUUAUGGAAUAACUCAGGAUAAAAGUUGUAAUGGUCAAUGUUCUAAAUUUAAACCAAGAAAAUAUAAGAAAAAUAAAUAUUAUAAGAAGAGAUAUAUAGCAAAACCUAGUAAAGAGGAAUAUUAUAGGAAGAAAAGUUAUAAACCUUAUAACAAAUAUAGAAAGAAGGUUCAAAUGAAUAAAACUCAGAAUAAAAAAUCGUUUAAGAAUUAAUAUGUUAUAAUUGUGGUAAAAAAGGACAUACAUCUAAGUUUUGUAGGUUUAAUAAAAAACUAAAUGAAUUAAAUUUAGAAGAAGAAAUAAUAAAUAAAAUCCAACAAUUAUAUAUAGAAUCAGAAUUUUCAGAAUCAGAGAUAACAGAAAGUGAUGACCAAAUUGAUGAGUUAGGAACUAGUUCAUCAGACAAAUCAAUAAAUGUUUUGACUAAAGAACAAGGCUCCUUAUUAGAGUUACUAAAUAAUAUUGAAGAUAAUAGUACUAAAGAAAAUUUUCUUAACAAAUUAAUAAAAAGUUUUGAUGAAGUGGAAGAAAUUAAAAGUAUUGUUCCUAAAAUAGAAAAACAAACUUAUGAUCUAACUAAAAUAUUAAGUAAAAAUAAAAAAUCUAAAGAAACAGUAUCAAUAGGAGAAUUGCAAAAGGAAAUCAGAAUAAUAAAAAAUGAAGUAAAAGAUUUAAAGUACCAAUUUCAAAAGGAUUCAAAAAGAAUAAAAUUUUUGGAAGAAUUAGUUUCUGAAUCUUCAUCGUCUAGUGGAAAGGAUGAAGAUGAGGAAGAAAAUGAUAAAAUAAAUCAGUUGGACAGUGAAGAAGUAGAUAAUAACUUUAUACUACUAUUACAAGAAAUAACUUCUAGGAAGUAUUUAGUAAAGAUAACAAUUAAAUUAUCAUAAGACUUUAGGAUAAAUACUAUAGCAUUAUUUGAUACAAGAGCGUAUUUAAAUUGUAUAAAAUCAAGUUUAGUACCUAAAAGGUUUUGGCAAGAGACUAAGGAAAAAUUUAAAACAACAAAUAAGACUAGCUUAAAUAUUUUAGGAAAAACAGAAGUAUUAAUAGUAAAUCAAGAUUUAGAAAUAAAAACUGUAUUUUUAUUAUCCCAUCAAAUAAAUCACAUGGUAAUAUUAGGAACCCUUUUAUAAAUCUAAUAACACCUUAUUCAGUAAAAGAAGAUUGUAUAAAAAUUAAAACAAAGAAUAAAAAGAUUAGAAUGGAUUUCACAGAAAAACUUCAAAGAAAAAAUUUAAACUUAAUAAGAGCACAUUCUAUUAGAACAAUAGAAAUAAAUUCAAUAAUAAAAUCAAGGACAGAGGACUUAAAAGAUUUAAAAAAUAGUGUGCAUUUAACUAGAAUUACAAAUCAUUUAGGAAGCAAACUUAUAAAAACUAAGAUAGAAAAACUAAAACAUGAUAUGGAGAAAGAAUUAUGUGCAGAGCACCCCAAUGCUUUUUGGAAUAAAAAACAACAUAUGGUAGAUCUGCCUUAUGAAGAGAAUUUUGAUGAACGAACAAUUUCUACUAAAGCAAAACCAAUUAAAAUGAGUCCAGAACUCAUAGAACAUUGUAAAAAGGAGAUUAAAGAACUAGAAGAUAAAAAAUUAAUAAGUAAAUCAAGAAGCCAUUGGUCAUGUGCGGCUUUUUAUGUUAAUAAAAGUGCAGAGAUAGAAAGAGAUACACUAAGGUUAGUUAUAAAUUAUAAACCAUUAAAUACAGCAUUAAAAUGGAUUAGAUAUCUCAUUCCUAAUAAGAAAGAUUUUUUAAAUAGGUUAUACAAUGCAAAUAUUUUUAGUAAAUUUGAUAUGAAGUCAGGAUAUUGGCAAAUUCAAAUUCACCCUAAUGAUAGGUAUAAAACAGUUUCUACUGUUCCUUUUGGACAGUAUAUGCCUUUUGGUCUAAAAAACGCGCCAUCAGAAUUUCAAAGAAGUAUGAAUGAUAUUUUUAAUCCUUAUUCAAAAUUCUGUAUUGUUUAUAUAGAUGAUGUCUUAGUUUUUAGCUAAAGUACAGAAGAACAUUUUAAGCAUUUAAAAACAUUCUGUAUGGUAAUAAAAAAGAAUGGAUUAGCUUUAAGUAAAACUAAAAUAAAUCUUUUUCAAACUAAAAUUAGAUUUUUAGGGCAUUAUAUAAAGUAAGGUAUAAGUUUACAGACGAAAUAACCAAUAAAACUCAAUUACAAAGAUUUUUAGGUUGUCUAAAUUAUGUUAUAGACUUUUGACUCGCGGUUGUCGAAGCCGGUCAAAAAUAACCUUUCUGGUUAUCAACAAUUUUACAACUGCAGAUAGUGGUGAAAGGAUCAAAUCUACAGAGAAUUGAUUACCUAUUUAUUUUUCUCAACAAGACCAAUAAAAUGAACUGAAACAAUAAUAAAUUAAAGAUGAUAUAAAAGACUGAAAGUGGGAUCAAAUGAGAAUUGCAAUAAAAGUAAAAUGGGGGGUUUGAGAUUGAUUGUAGUAACUAAUAAUGAGAGUAAUAAUAGAAAGCAAAUAAUUAAAAUAAAAGAGUAAAUCAAUAUGAGAAAAGUCUAGUUGAAGAUAUGAAUCCACUUUGGUUGUUUGGGUUGAUCAUUGAAACUUAAAUUAUCUUGAUUGAUUCAAUAGAUUAGUUAUAGGGGUGGAAGACGCUUCUCACCACCAUGUCUCUCCUUAUGAUUAAAUUAAUUAGGGAACGUCCUCUAAUUAAUUACUAAUUAACAAAUUGCCAAGGAACGUGCUUGGGCCAUAGGCAUCAAAACAAUUGUCAAUUGCAUAAAGAAAUAGAGAGAUCCAAUCCUAACUACCCAAACUUAUGGAGAUAACGCUAGACCAUGCAAUUUCCUUGGGUUUUAUCCAAGUGUUCUAAGGUCAGAAUAUUUCCAGCAAUUACGGACUAAAAAUAAUCCUAACUAACAAUCAAUUAACUUUGCAAUUAAAAUCAAGUGGCCAAUUUGAUCAAAACAACAAAGUAAUCAUAUAAUUAAAGCAUCAAUUGCAUAAAUAUUGAACAAAACCAAAGACAAUAAUUUAUGUUCAGAUCUCACAACCCAUUAAACAACCUUAGUUUCAACCAAUCCUCAACUAGAAUUAAAAUCAGCCACUCAUUGGCUGAAUUAAAAAUAGAAAAUAAAUAAAAGGGAAAAGAAAAAAACCGAAGAUGAGCACGCUGCGGAAAUCGCUGAGAGGAAUUGGAGAGAUUGGAGAGAUUGGAAUUGCUGUCCUCUGAAUUGUUCACUGGAAGUUCUAUUUAUAAGUGCAGAGGAGCGCACUAUUUAGGAAAAUUGCUGGCCUGGGAGUGGAUUGAGUGUGCGAAUGUCCACGCGAAGCUGGAGUGAGGGCGCG
rnacentral:lncRNA from 1 species